CACAAGCGGUGGAUGAUGUGGUUUAAUUCGAUGCAACGCGAAAACCUUACCCACCUUGACAUGUACGGAAUCCUUUAGAGAUAGAGGAGUGCUCGAAAGAGAGCCGUAACACAGGUGCUGCAUGGCUGUCGUCAGCUCGUGUCGUGAGAUGUUGGGUUAAGUCCCGCAACGAGCGCAACCCUUGUCAUUAGUUGCUACGAAAGGGCACUCUAAUGAGACUGCCGGUGACAAACCGGAGGAAGGUGGGGAUGACGUCAAGUCCUCAUGGCCCUUAUGGGUAGGGCUUCACACGUCAUACAAUGGUCGGUACAGAGGGUUGCCAACCCGCGAGGGGGAGCUAAUCCCACAAAGCCGAUCGUAGUCCGGAUCGCAGUCUGCAACUCGACUGCGUGAAGUCGGAAUCGCUAGUAAUCGUGGAUCAGCAUGUCACGGUGAAUACGUUCCCGGGUCUU
rnacentral:rRNA from 1 species